GUAGUCCACGCCGUAAACGAUGGGUGCUAGCCGUUGGGGGGUUACCUUCCAGUGGCGUAGCUAACGCGUUAAGCACCCCGCCUGGGGAGUACGGUCGCAAGAUUAAAACUCAAAGGAAUUGACGGGGACCCGCACAAGCGGUGGAACAUGUGGUUUAAUUCGAGGCAACGCGAAGAACCUUACCAGGGUUUGACAUGCUUCUCGCGGACUCUUGAAAGAGAGUCCUUCAGUUCGGCUGGAGAAUGCACAGGUGCUGCAUGGCUGUCGUCAGCUCGUGUCGUGAGAUGUUGGGUUAAGUCCCGCAACGAGCGCAACCCUCGUCCUCUGUUGCUAACAGGUAAUGCUGAGAACUCUGAGGAAACUGCCGGUGAUAAGCCGGA
rnacentral:rRNA from 1 species